rnacentral:rRNA from 1 species
GACGAACGCUGGCGGCAUGCCUUACACAUGCAAGUCGAACGGCAGCACGGGUGCUUGCACCUGGUGGCGAGUGGCGAACGGGUGAGUAAUACAUCGGAACGUACCUUAUCGUGGGGGAUAACGCAGCGAAAGUUGCGCUAAUACCGCAUACGCCCUGAGGGGGAAAGCGGGGGACCGUAAGGCCUCGCGCGAUUAGAGCGGCCGAUGUCUGAUUAGCUUGUUGGUGAGGUAAAAGCUCACCAAGGCGAUGAUCAGUAGCUGGUCUGAGAGGACGAUCAGCCACACGGGGACUGAGAAACGGCCCAGACUCCUACGGGAGGCAGCAGUGGGGAAUUUUGGACAAUGGGGGCAACCCUGAUCCAGCAAUGCCGCGUGAGUGAAGAAGGCCUUCGGGUUGUAAAGCUCUUUUGUCAGGGAAGAAACAGCAGCUCUAACACAGUCUGCGAAUGACGGUACCUGAAGAAUAAGCACCGGCUAACUACGUGCCAGCAGCCGCGGUAA